GAGCCAGCCGCCGAAGGUGGGGUAGAUGAUUGGGGUGAAGUCGUAACAAGGUAGCCGUAUCGGAAGGUGCGGCUGGAUCACCUCCUUUCUACGGAGA
rnacentral:rRNA from 1 species